CGCAGCCCCGUCAAAUUCAGUCCCUGCCUCCUCCUCCGUGGCGGGGACUGGCCAGCCGGCUGCCACAGCGAGCUCUGUCGCCCAUGGGCCCCUCGUCCCCUUUUCCCGUGGGACUUUGGGGACAAAACCGUGCCACAGACACCC
ensembl:snoRNA